UAUUAAUAUGGAAGGGAGAAGAGCUUUAAUGAUGGGAGUCAUUUUCAGAGCAUUAAAGCUUUUCUCCCUUCCAUAUUAAUG
ensembl:miRNA